GAAUUUUGGACAAUGGGCGAAAGCCUGAUACAGCAAUGCCCCGUGCAGGAUGAAGGCCUUCCGGUUGUAAACUGCUUUUGUACGGAACGAAAAGCUUUGGGUUAAUACCCUGUAGUCAUGACGGUACCGUCAGAAUAAGCAGCGGCUAACUACGUGCCAGCAGCCGCGGUAAGACGCAGGGUGCAAGCGUUAAUCGGAAUUACAGGGGGUAGAGCAUGCGCAGGCGGUUUUGUAAGACAGAGGUGAAAUCCCCGGGCUCAACCUGGGAACUGCCUUUGUGACUGCAAGGCUAGAGUACGGCAGAGGGGGGUGGAAUUCCGCGUGUAGCAGUGAAAUGCGUAGAUAUGCGGAGGAACACCGAUGGCGAAGGCAACCCCCUGGACCUGUACUGACGCUCAUGCACGAAAGCGUGGGGAGCAAACA
rnacentral:rRNA from 1 species